rnacentral:rRNA from 1 species
ACAAUGGGCGCAAGCCUGAUCCAGCCAUGCCGCGUGCAGGAUGACGGUCCUAUGGAUUGUAAACUGCUUUUAUACGAGAAGAAACACUACUUCGUGAAGUAGCUUGACGGUAUCGUAAGAAUAAGGAUCGGCUAACUCCGUGCCAGCAGCCGCGGUAAUACGGAGGAUCCAAGCGUUAUCCGGAAUCAUUGGGUUUAAAGGGUCCGUAGGCGGUUUAGUAAGUCAGUGGUGAAAGCCCAUCGCUCAACGGUGGAACGGCCAUUGAUACUGCUAGACUUGAAUUAUUAGGAAGUAACUAGAAUAUGUAGUGUAGCGGUGAAAUGCUUAGAGAUUACAUGGAAUACCAAUUGCGAAGGCAGGUUACUACUAAUAUAUUGACGCUGAUGGACGAAAGCGUGGGUAGCGAACAGGAUUAGAUACCCUGGUAGUCCACGCCGUAAACGAUGGAUACUAGCUGUUGGGAGCAAUCUCAGUGGCUAAGCGAAAGUGAUAAGUAUCCCACCUGGGGAGUACGUUCGCAAGAAUGAAACUCAAAGGAAUUGAC